rnacentral:rRNA from 1 species
GACGAACUGCCCAAACGUUGUUCGGAAUCACUGGGCUUAAAGGGCGCGUAGGCGGCAGAUCAAGUCAGGGGUGAAAUCCGGCAGCUCAACUGUCGAAGUGCCUUUGAUACUGAUUUGCUCGAGGGAGAUAGGGGUCUGUGGAACUUCUGGUGGAGCGGUGAAAUGUGUUGAGAUUGGAAGGAACGCCAGUGGCGAAAGCGGCGUGCUGGAUCUUUUCUGACGCUGAGGCGCGAAAGCUAGGGGAGCAAACGGG